AGAGAAAUAUUGAACAUAGAAACGACAAAAAAAUAUCAUGAGAGUUCAUGAGUUGUCUUUCUCGUAUUUUUUUUUCUUGUCUUCGCUGUCGUUGUCGUUGUUGUAUUUGACCGGUGGAAGAUAAAAAUAUCAUGGGCAGAGGUUUUUGAGCGACACUCGAAAUGAAACAAAAUGCAAAUGCAAGGAA
rnacentral:ribozyme from 13 species